ACGGAAGGCAGCAGUGGGGAAUAUUGCACAAUGGGCGAAAGCCUGAUGCAGCGACGCCGCGUGAGUGAAGAAGUAUUUCGGUAUGUAAAGCUCUGUCAGCAGGGAAGAAAAUGACGGUACCUGACUAAGAAGCCCCGGCUAACUACGUGCCAGCAGCCGCGGUAAUACGUAGGGGGCAAGCGUUAUCCGGAUUUACUGGGUGUAAAGGGAGCGUAGACGGUCCGGCAAGUCUGAAGUGAAAUCCCGGGGCUCAACCCCGGUGCUGCUUUGGAAACUGUCGGACUUGAGUACUGGAGAGGUAAGCGGAAUUCCUAGUGUAGCGGUGAAAUGCGUAGAUAUUAGGAGGAACACCAGUGGCGAAGGCGGCUUACUGGACAGUAACUGACGUUGAGGCUCGAAAGCGUGGGGAGCAAACAGGAUUAGAUACCCUGGUA
rnacentral:rRNA from 1 species